rnacentral:rRNA from 1 species
UGGGGAAUUUUGGACCAUGGGGGAAACCCUGAUCCAGCCAUCCCGCGUGUGCGAUGAAGGCCUUCGGUUUGUAAAGCACUUUUGGCAGGAAAGAAACGUCAUGGGUUAAUACCCCGUGAAACUGACGGUACCUGCAGAAUAAGCACCGGCUAACUACGUGCCAGCAGCCGCGGUAAUACGUAGGGUGCAAGCGUUAAUCGGAAUUACUGGGCGUAAAGCGUGCGCAGGCGGUUCGGAAAGAAAGAUGUGAAAUCCCAGAGCUCAACUUUGGAACUGCAUUUUUAACUACCGGGCUAGAGUGUGUCAGAGGGAGGUGGAAUUCCGCGUGUAGCAGUGAAAUGCGUAGAUAUGAGGAGGAACACCGAUGGCGAAGGCAGCCUCCUGGGAUAACACUGACGCUCAUGCACGAAAGCGUGGGGAGCAAACAGG